UACGUAGGGACCGAGCGUUGUCCGGAUUCAUUGGGCGUAAAGAGCUCGUAGGCGGCCACUCAAGUCGAAUGUGAAACCUCGAGGCUUAACCUCGAGCCUGCAUUCGAUACUGGGCGGCUAGAGUCUGGUAGGGGGAUCUGGAAUUCCGUGGUGUAGCGGUGGAAUGCGCAGAUAUCAGGAGGAACACCGGUGGCGAAGGCGGGAUCCGUGGGCCAGUACUGACGCUGAGGAGCGAAAGCGUGGGGAGCAAACAGG
rnacentral:rRNA from 1 species